rnacentral:lncRNA from 1 species
UCAAGCAACCAAAGUUUAAGUUCAACCAACAAAAAUCAUAAUAAGUAUUAAGUACAACAUCAAAGUUUAAGUUUAACCAACCAAAACCAUAAUAACAUUGCCUAACAAAAUAAGAGUGAAGCAUUCUAAAAUUAAAUUCUAAUCAUCAAUGUCAAGAAUAUUAGAUGCACUCUUAGAACAAGUUGAACCUUCUUUUUAAUGGAUAUUAUUAUUGGACCAUAUACCUUUUUUUCAAAAUGGGUCAUGGAUAUUUUUUAGGUAGUUUUUUUUUUCAAUUUUUUUU